rnacentral:rRNA from 1 species
AAUAGAUACCCCUGUAGUCCACGCCGUAAACGGUGGGCACUAGGUGUGGGCGACAUUCCACGUCGUCCGUGCCGCAGCUAACGCAUUAAGUGCCCCGCCUGGGGAGUACGGCCGCAAGGCUAAAACUCAAAGGAAUUGACGGGGGCCUGCACAAGCGGCGGAGCAUGUGGCUUAAUUCGACGCAACGCGAAGAACCUUACCAAGGCUUGACAUACACCGGAAAACCCUGGAGACAGGGUCCCCCUUGUGGUCGGUGUACAGGUGGUGCAUGGCUGUCGUCAGCUCGUGUCGUGAGAUGUUGGGUUAAGUCCCGCAACGAGCGCAACCCUUGUCCCGUGUUGCCAGCAGGCCCUUGUGGUGCUGGGGACUCACGGGAGACCGCCGGGGUCAACUCGGAGGAAGGUGGGGACGACGUCAAGUCAUCAUGCCCCUUAUGUCUUGGGCUGCACACGUGCUACAAUGGCCGGUACAAUGAGCUGCGAUACCGCGAGGUGGAGCGAAUCUCAAAAAGCCGGUCUCAGUUCGGAUUGGGGUCUGCAAC